GUGAAAUUGUUGAAAGGGAAGCGCUUGCAACCAGACCUGCCUGCAGUUGCUCAUCCGGGCUUUUGCCCGGUGCACUCUUCUGCUGUCAGGCCAGCAUCAGUUCGGGCGGUCGGAUAAAGGCUUCGGGAAUGUAGCUCCUCUCGAGGAGUGUUAUAGCCCGUUGCGAAAUGCGGCCAGCCUGAACUGAGGUCCGCGCUUCGGCUAGGAUGCUGGCGUAAUGGUUGUAAGCGGCCCGUCUUGAACCACGGACCAAGGAGUCUAACAUCUGUGCGAGUGUUUGGGUGUCAAACCCGUACGCGUAAUGAAAGUGAACGGAGGCGGGAACCCCUCGGGGUGCACCGUCGACCGAUCCUGAUGUCUUCGGAUGGAUUUGAGUAAGAGCAUAGCUGUUGGGACCCGAAAGAUGGUGAACUAUGCCUGAAUAGGGUGAAGCCAGAGGAAACUCUGGUGGAGGCUCGCAGCGGUUCUGACGUGCAAAUCGAUCGUCAAAUUUGGGCAUAGGGGCGAAAGACUAAUCGAACUAUCUAGUAGCUGGUUCCUGCCGAAGUUUCCCUCAGGAUAGCAGUAACGUUUUCAGUUUUAUGAGGUAAAGCGAAUGAUUAGAGGCCUGGGGGUUGAAACAACCUUCACCUAUUCUCAAACUUUAAAUAUGUAAGAAGUCCUUGUUGCUUAGUUGAACGUGGACAUUUGAAUGUAUCG
rnacentral:rRNA from 1 species